AGCGAACGCUGGCGGCAUGCUUAACACAUGCAAGUCGAGCGGGCCUUUCGGGGUCAUCGGCGUACGGGUUAGUAACGCGUGGGAACGGUCCCUCGUGGUCGGAAUAACUCAAGGAAACGUGAGCUAAUACCGGAUACGCCCUUUUGGGGAAAGGCUUGAUGCCCGAGGAGCGGCCCGCGUCUGAUUAGCUAGUUGUUGAGGUAACGGCUCACCAAGGCGACGAUCAGUAGCUGGUCUGAGAGGAUGAUCAGCCACACUGGGACUGAGACACGGCCCAGAAUCCUACGGGAGGCAGGAGUGGGGAAUAUUGGAAAGCGGGGGCAAGGAUGAUCCAGCCAGGCCGGGUGAGUGAUGAAGGCAUUAGGGUUGUAAAGCUCUUUUAUCCGGGACGAUAAUGACGGUACCGGAGGAAUAAGCCCCGGCUAACUUCGUG
rnacentral:rRNA from 1 species